CAACCCAUGUCACUGCGUACACCACCGUGGCCGCCACUUGACGGCAGGUGGUGGACACCAAUGCAACCACACUGGCGGCUUCCCUUGCCUAGCUACACGUUGCAUCUCUGUUUCAUCUUCGCUAGGUAAUUUGUGUACUUCUGCUCUCUUUUCUCUCUGUCUAAGCAUGUGCUUAUUAGUGAUUAGCACUCACAACAUAACUAUUACUAGCUUAGAGGACAGUUUUUAUUCUCUAGACUGUUUUUUCUUACAUCUGUAAUAAUAAAACAUGUGGAAGGGGCUUCUUUUCAUUCUUCAUUGUGAUAUCUCAUUGCAGCAAGUUUUAAUUCUACAAGUAGAUGAAUCGUUAUUUCUUUCAAAUUCAGAUCUAAUGGUGGGUGUAUAGUACAGAAAAUUGUAUACCUAACUGGUCCUUAAUCUAAGCAGAAUGAUUAUCAGGUAAAUCGUGCAGGUUUGUGGGGAUGACACAUAUUUGGAGGUACAGCUCCUGCUUGCAUGCGCAAAAAGUUCAUGAUUUGCAUCUCUAAUAUAACAUGAAAGCAGAUGGUGGUCAAGAAUCGGAAAAUGCUCAUGCUUGAAAUAGCAAUGUGACCAAGCAAGGUGGUACUGAAUCAAGUGUAUAACUUCCUGUGUCACUAAGCACAUCAAGAAAAUACAUUUGUAGGCAGUAUGUUUGGCGAAGUAUCUUGGUUUUUUAGGUAAAAAAGCCAAAGCUGACCACUCCAACACAACCUAAGACAUUGGUGCUCCAAGACAACCUCAAGACAUUUCUAUGGCUAGCUGAGAGUUUAGAAUUGGAACACAUUGCAGGAGCAAGCAGCAACUACGCAAGAAUUAGUCUUUAAAUGAACACAUAUUAUGUAUAAUGUAUGGAAAGCUUAGUUCUACUUUGUAGUAUAUAUAU